rnacentral:snoRNA from 1 species
CUACAGCCAAUUAAGCUGACGAGCCCCCUCUCCCCUUGGGAACCUGGUGUGCAGUGGCUGCGGACAGCAACCUCUUUGGUAGUGUAUGUGGCCUGUUGCUUGUAGGAUUGCCUUAAGGGACCUUAGAGACAGCC